rnacentral:rRNA from 1 species
CCUGAACGCUGGCGGCGUGGCUAAGACAUGCAAGUCGUACGGGGCCGCAAGGCCCAGUGGCGAACGGGUGAGUAAUGAAUCGCUAAUGUGCCCCGGACUCAGGGAUAGCCGCUCGAAAGGGCGGGUAAUACCUGAUGACAUAACCCUGUCGCAUGGCAGGGUUCUCAAAGGUCCGCCGGUCUGGGAGCAGGCGAUUUCGUAUCAGCUAGUUGGUGAGGUAACGGCUCACCAAGGCGACGACGCGUAGCCGGACUGAGAGGUUGGCCGGCCACAUUGGGGACUGAGACACUGCCCAGACUCCUACGGGGGGCUGCAGUAACGAAUCUUCCGCAAUGCACGAAAGUGUGACGGAGCGACGCCGCGUGUGGGACGAAGUCC